rnacentral:lncRNA from 1 species
AUUCUACUCUAAGCUUAGCAGCUGGAAAAAGGGGAGACAUUUGCUCACGACCGGAGAAGAGGUAUCCCCAACGUUGACCGUCUUUUUUCGGACAGCAGAAACAGGUCCAGUUUGACUCUGACAAUCUUCCCGCUAAGGUAGGUGUGAGCCCUUUCCCGGCCUGAGACGGAGAUUUGGGGGGCUUUGGCCUGGAGCCCAGGGAGGGCGGGCAUCCUAAACCCGCUCGUCUGGUUCUGCAGCCCCUCCCCCCCCCACAGAUGUGUGGGAUCGUGUGUGUGAAAUCGACUGCCUGCUGGGCCUGCUUGGUCCAUCCAUCCCCGCCUGUCAGCUUCUGUUGUCAGGAGUUUGGGGCGUGCAAUUCUCUGCCGUAUUUAGCAGCAUAGGAGAGGCUGCACUUGCAAGUAUUUCCCAGUUGUGUGUUUUGUGGUGGGGGGAGGGCCCUGAAUGCCUCUUCUGAAAGGCACAGUCGGCUGCCAGGAAACCCGGCUGAGCACUGGCCCUCCCUUCCGGCCCUCAGUGGGGCGUGUGGGGUGACUGUAUGAGCUGGCCUCUUCUCUGAUGUCUGGCUGCUAGGGAGGUGAACAACAGAAGAACCUGAGAUCUGGGCCAGCUUCCUUUAAGAAAGAGGCCUCAUGACUCUUCCCUUUCCAGGGAAUUCCCAUAAUUCUGUUUCAUCCCCUGCCCCCCAAAAAAGCCCUAUUUCUAGAAUUGGACAAACCCAGAUUUGAAACCGGGCUAGCCAUUUUACCUAUGACCUCACGUAAGUUGCAGUCUCUGAGCCCAAGUUUCCUUCUUUGCACAAAUGGGAUAGUGAUUCUUGAAGUCGAGUGUGCAUCCAAUUCAUGAGAAUCAGCUCCAAGGCCUGGUCCCCAAGUUUCUGAUUCAAUAGGUGGGGUCUGAGAACUUGCAAUUCUAACAAGUUCCCAGGUGAUGCUGAAGCUGUGCUGUGGAGACACAUUUUGAGGACCUUUGAGCUAGGUGACACCUUGAAGCCCCCAAGCUCAUUGGCUUGGGGCAGAGUGGUCUGUUUUGUGGUAACAGUCACCGCCUCCUUAUUCUCCUAACACAAGCCGACUGUGUACAGUUUCCCAUCCUCUUUAUCUCCAGGAAGCGCCACAGCUGGAGAUAGUACGGCCCUUGAUCUCUGACCCCUUCUCUCUGAUUACCUUGGUGAACCAUUUGGGUCCGGGUGCUGCCAAUUGCACUCCUCCCCCAUUUGGGCCCAGGCUUGGCUUCCAAGUCUGAUCAGCCCUGUUCUCUUUAACCCCACCCCUCAGCGUAGGGGCUAAACUGUGUAUUGGGGGAGCCAUAGGGCUUGAUCUGGAGAUUCCAUUGGGGGCAUCUUGGUGCUUAACGAAGGGAGGCUCUAGGUUCGGCAGCUGUGGGCUUGACUCUCCGCUGUGCUGGUGACCUUGGGCGAGUCCCCUGUGUAAAGCGAUGAUAAUGAAGUCUGUUGUAAAGGGUGGAGGAUUAAGUGCGAUUAAGGGAGCUGGCCUCACGUUCAGGCUUCACUCUAGUUGGCUUCCAUUCGGUGUGGCUGGUGGGGGCUGGACUUCUUUCAAGCUCCUCCCUGACCUGCCCACCCCAAGCACGUGGCAAUGCCUCAGGGCAAAGGGGAAGAUUGACUUUACAGGCUGGGAGCCAGCCCGGUUUUUCCCUCUAGUAUCUGAGUUGGGAAGGUGGCCUUUCCCCAUUUUCACAGGCUGUUCCAUGAGAGGUCAUGAUUUGGGGUCCCCCCCACCCGGAGAGUAGAAGUGACUCACCCAAGGUCACGAGGCCACCACUGGCAGGCAGCCAGGAUGGGAUUCCAGGUGUCUUGACUUCCAGCCCAGUGCCUGUGUCCAUGGUCCCGCUCAGCCCAGCUGUCUAAGUUAUUUUGGGCUCCCUCUCAUGCCAGCUGUCUGCUGGCAUCACUGCCCAAGAGCUGGAAAAGCUAUCUGGUUGAAAGUAACCAGUGUGGUGCUUUUGGCUCCUUCUUGCCGGCCAUGCCUUGGCUCCAUGGAGGUCUCCAGUCCCAGAUAAGCUGGGUUUGGUAUCCUGUCCUUUGCUGGGGGGUAAGGGGUACAGCCCACCGGACUCCCUCCCUCUACCCAGUGUGAGCACUUUGUAAAAGCAGGUGAGGCUCACAUAAUAAUGAGCCCCAUGAGCCUCUUCCCUCCUUCCACACUUGCCUCAAUCCUGCAGUUUAACUUCGGCUCUGCCAUUGACGAGUUCAUUCAACCCCCUGGAUCUGCCCCUCUUGACUUCUGCCACCUGAGGUUGUCCUGCAUCCCUUCUUAAAGAGUCUUUAGGGCUCUGUAGGGUAGGAGUCUGCCUACUCUGGGCACUGGACAGUUAAAGUGAUUUCCCUCCCAGCAGCAGCCUGAAGGGCUACAGCCAGUUUCUCUACUCCCGUUUCUCCACUCCCGCCCUCAGACCAAUUAGGGAGCAAUUAGGUGCUCAGCUGUGGUCUGGGUGUUUCCUGGAAGGGAGCGAUGCCCCCACAACCUGCACCACCUUCCUGCUUCCUUUCCUCUUUCACCCCCUCUUUUUGAUUUCUUUGUCCCCCACGCCAGUAUCACCUCUGUGGAGAGAGGGGCGGGGCAGCCUAUCUGUCCUCUUUGGGCCCAGAGGGUGGCUCCGCCCUGAUCACCCAGUGAGCUCGGGGCGGGGCUGCUCCUGGCGCCCAGCUGGUGGAGCCUGCCCUGAGAGGGCCACGCCAGCGGAAGGGCUGGGGAGGUGGCUGGACCUGCCUUACGACUGGCCGCCUGGGUCCCGCCCCUUCCGGCCCAUCUUCCGUGGCCUGGAAUCCGACCUUUUGGACCCUGUGUGUGGAGACUCAGCCUCUGCCUGGACUGUGGAGAUGGGCAGCCCGCCAUCUCAGAGGCCGCCUGGGUCCAGUAUUGUCUCCAGCUGGUUGGUGACCUAGGCAGUUUCCCACCCCUCCAGGAGUCAUGGUCUCCCCCAUGUUAGCCAGGAAGAGGGAGUUGCUGGAUAACCUUUUAGCUGUUUCCCAGUAUGGCUUUGUGCAGGCAGCUUUUUGUACUCCAGCAGUGACUCCCCGACCCCACCACCAAGUGCUGAGGCCUGGAGGGAAUCUUGGAACAGGGAUAGAUAACCUUGACAGCACUCCCUGCCAGGGCCACCUCCCAUCUCUGGGACCUCAAGGAAGGUUCAGUCUCUGUCUCACAUGAGGUGGAUGAUAUCCCAGAGUGUUCUGAUGCUCCUGGGAAGCAGAAGCCUCAAGCAUUGAUGUUGAUUUCCCCAUCCUAACUUAUACUGGCCAGACUUUGCCCUGACAAGACAGAAGUGGACCUGCCCAUAAUAGAGCCCAGGCCUAAAUUUAUUUGUUCAUUCCCAUAAAUGUCACCUGCCAGCUCUCCUAGGCUUCUGUGUCUAAAUAGCUCUGUGGCAAGCUCGAAUUUAAAGAUGCUUUCUUACCCUCCUAAAUCUCUCCAGGAAUUCCUGGUGAAUAGAGGAAUGACACCGGUCCUCAGAACAUCUCGCAGGUAAGAGAACAGGGCUUCCAGAAUGUGUGGGCGUUCCCAGUGCCUCAGCUGGCCUGUCUGGCCCAGCGCCUCUGUGGAAGCUCUGAGCAGUUGGCCUGGCUGCUGGAUAUUUUUAGCUACAGAUCCAGCCCCUACACCACCACAGGAGCCAGGUCCAAAUCCAACAUGCUCCAGGCCGGGUGGGGUUGGGGCUCUGCCAGCCUCUUGGCCAGGCAGGGGUGGGUGGGCAGGCUGGGCCCAGCAUCAGCUGUCCUGCCUGGACCUGGGCCGGGCUGAGAAGACUCACUUUUCUUCUUCCUUUCUCUUGGUUUUGUGUAAGUCAUUUGUUCUGGCAUAAGUUGAAAUCUAUUUCUCAAGACGGGAAAAAUGGAAACUGAGAUCUGAGGAUUUUGAGGAAAGUCAAGAGCCUUCCCCUCCCCCCACAGGCUGGAGUGAAUGACACAGUUUGCUCAGAGUGGGUGACCCUUCUAAGUGAAAUCUCCCAAGGUUCCUCCAGGUGAGGCAGUCUUACUCUCCCAGCCACUCCCUGAGCUUCGGGGUCCCUGAUGCGGGGCAAGCCUGAGGCAGCCAAAGGGAAGAGGCUUGUGCCUGGCUCAAAGGUAAGUGCUUCCCCCGCUCCCUCCAAGCCCUCUUCCAUCCUCUCCCUCCCUAAGUGAUGCCCCCCCCCUCCGCUCCAGUGGUCCUGAGGAAUCUCACUUCUGACAUGUAUUUGGACCUGUUUCCCUCCUCUUUUGCUAGCUUCCAGCUGCCACUGUGCACCCCAGCCCUGUCCCAGCCUCACCAGCCAAUCACAGCUCCUCCCUGGUCAUGGGAAAAGCUUUGUCUGGGCUCCUCUCCUGUUAAGAGCCUCUGUCCAGCACCCCUCUUGAGCCUGGCAACCAGGCCUCCACGAUCUAACCCUGGUUACUAACUUGACAAUCAUGUCUGGCCUCCCUCACUCCCCAGCCACUGCCAAACCUGAUAUGAUGUCUAGCCACCAUACACUUACCCAGGCUGGGUACCCAUCCUACUUCUGCUGGCCUUUCCUGCCAGCACUGACAAGCUUGGUUCAUGUGCUGCCUGCCUCUCAACCUUCUCUGAACCCUAGAGGCUCUGGUGUCUAAAUUGUUCACAUCUCAGAACGCUUCCCCCAAGACUGAGUUCCUCAGAGGCAGGAACACAAUUCCCUCUCAAUAAACUUGUGCUG